UUCGUAUGAGACAGAACAGUAGACAGCAGACAAGAUCCAUAUAGCUAUAUAUAUACUUGCAGAUAUAUACCUUAAGCCAUAUACAUGAGUUCAGUUACAGGCACAUAUUCAAUUUCUCAUUUAAACAAGCAAGAAAAUAUGCCGAAGUCCACGAUCUCUUUGCUACUUCUUCUGCUUAUUGUGGUUUCACUCCCCAUGGGCCAAGCCUUGGGCGAUCAAUUAUUCAAUCACCGCAAACUCAAAGAGGAGCCGAGUAAGUUGGGAGGGAGCGGAACCCCUAACAGUCCAUGCACAAUAUACAGCCGAUGCAAGCGUGGACCACCGCCUCGCUAUUAACCCCUCCAAUGGGUCCCACCAGCUGUGUUCCUGUGUGUGUGCGUGUAUCAGUUUGGCUUCUAUCCGUGCCGUGUCGAGUCGGAAUAUCAACCUUUGGAAUAAGGGUUAGCCCCUGAAUGCUUUCAUCUUCUUGAUGAUUGUGUUGUGGUCUCUAAUAUAUGGUUUGCAAGCUUUUUGGUUUUUGUAUUUCCUCUGAAUCGUCAGUCUUUGACGAGCUGUGUGAAGGCGUCAUUAAACCUAAUUGCUAA